rnacentral:tRNA from 1 species
GGCCCGGUGCUUGAAAUGGUAACCAGACGCCCCCGGCAAGGUGCGUAUAGUCGGUUCGAUUCCGACCCGGGCCU